GACGAACGCUGUCGGCGUGCUUAACACAUGCAAGUCGAACGGAAAGGCCCUGCUUUUGUGGGGUGCUCGAGUGGCGAACGGGUGAGUAACACGUGAGUAACCUGCCCUUGACUUUGGGAUAACUUCAGGAAACUGGGGCUAAUAUCGGAUAGGAGCUCCUGCUGCAUGGUGGGGGUUGGAAAGUUUCGGCGGUUGGGGAUGGACUCGCGGCUUAUCAGCUUGUUGGUGGGGUAGUGGCUUACCAAGGCUUUGACGGGUAGCCGGCCUGAGAGGGUGACCGGCCACAUUGGGACUGAGAUACGGCCCAGACUCCUACGGGAGGCAGCAGUGGGGAAUAUUGCACAAUGGGCGGAAGCCUGAUGCAGCAACGCCGCGUGCGGGAUGACGGCCUUCGGGUUGUAAACCGCUUUCGCCUGUGACGAAGCGUGAGUGACGGUAAUGGGUAAAGAAGCACCGGCUAACUACGUGCCAGCAGCCGCGGUGAUACGUAGGGUGCGAGCGUUGUCCGGAUUUAUUGGGCGUAAAGGGCUCGUAGGUGGUUGAUCGCGUCGGAAGUGUAAUCUUGGGGCUUAACCCUGAGCGUGCUUUCGAUACGGGUUGACUUGAGGAAGGUAGGGGAGAAUGGAAUUCCUGGUGGAGCGGUGGAAUGCGCAGAUAUCAGGAGGAACACCAGUGGCGAAGGCGGUUCUCUGGGCCUUUCCUGACGCUGAGGAGCGAAAGCGUGGGGAGCGAACAGGCUUAGAUACCCUGGUAGUCCACGCUGUAAACGGUGGGUACUAGGUGUGGGGUCCAUUCCACGGGUUCCGUGCCGUAGCUAACGCUUUAAGUACCCCGCCUGGGGAGUACGGCCGCAAGGCUAAAACUCAAAGGAAUUGACGGGGCCCCGCACAAGCGGCGGAGCAUGCGGAUUAAUUCGAUGCAACGCGUAGAACCUUACCUGGGUUUGACAUGGAUCGGGAGUGCUCAGAGAUGGGUGUGCCUCUUUUGGGGUCGGUUCACAGGUGGUGCAUGGCUGUCGUCAGCUCGUGUCGUGAGAUGUUGGGUUAAGUCCCGCAACGAGCGCAACCCUUGUUCACUGUUGCCAGCACGUUAUGGUGGGGACUCAGUGGAGACCGCCGGGGUCAACUCGGAGGAAGGUGGGGAUGACGUCAAGUCAUCAUGCCCCUUAUGUCCAGGGCUUCACGCAUGCUACAAUGGCUGGUACAGAGAGUGGCGAGCCUGUGAGGGUGAGCGAAUCUCGGAAAGCCGGUCUCAGUUCGGAUUGGGGUCUGCAACUCGACCUCAUGAAGUCGGAGUCGCUAGUAAUCGCAGAUCAGCAACGCUGCGGUGAAUACGUUCCCGGG
rnacentral:rRNA from 1 species